GCCGGUACCCGGCUGUAAGGCAAGCUGGGAUGCGCGGAGUAGCGGGUGGAAAGCUGGACUGGAGUUCUCACUCGGCCGCUGGGUGACUUCGGUGCACUAGGGAUAGUAACAGUACCACCUCGUAGGGUUGUAGAAAGACCAAGUGAGUUAAUAUUUGUAAAGUGUUUAGAACAGCGUCUACUGCAUGGAAAGUAGUAUUUAUUUGUUAGAGAGACUCCAGGAGGUCUUGCCCAGGGAUUGACUUCUCCCUUCCCUGUCUCCACCCCCCACAUUCCCGUUUGUGAGCCAAGCCUUGCUUUUGCACCGGCCGGGCUCUCUUGCCUGGAAAUGCAUACCCAUCUCAAACCUGGGCUUUAAAAUCACCUCCUCUGGGACGCCUUCCUCUACUUCUCACAGUUCAGGCCUGUUCUGCCCCACACAGCAGAAAAUGCCCACGAUGCAAUACCAGAGUCUGCAUGGGACCAUUUCAACAACCCUUAGAAGCUGACUCAGCUGUCUCCUGGCCCUGACUUUUCUAAGAUGAGAGGAGCUGGUAGGAACAAUUUGGGAACCCUCAAAGGCUGAGAGUAUCCCACCCACUUCACAGAUGAAGCAAACUGAGGCCCAGAGAAGGGAAAUUACUUGCCCAAGAUCACCCAGCAAGUAAGAAACAGAGCUGGAGAUGAGCUCAGGCCAGCACGGAACCACGCAAACUCCUUCUGUAGGCUUUGUAAAGGAUUGAUGAGAAAAGCAGAUGGUUAAGAGCUCUACAACUUCUGUGAGCCCCCAGAUGACUGCAGCGCUGGUCAACACCUGGAUUCCAACCUCAUGAGAAACCCAGAACCAGAACCACCCAGCUGAGCUGCUCCUGAAUUCCUGUGGAAACUGAGAUAGUCAAUGUUCAUUUUAAGCCACUAAGUUUAGGAUAAUUUGUUACUCAGCAAUAGAUAACUAACACAUACAUCUUGCACAUAUUUAAUUAAGUGUAUCACUAAGUAUUUGAUGUGGCUUUUUUGUUUUGUUUUGUUUGAGACGGAUUUUCGCUCUUGUUGCCCAGGCUGGAGUGCAAUGGUGCGAUCUUGGCUCACCACCACCUCCGCCUCCCGGGCUCAAGUGAUUCUCCCGCAUCAGCCUCCUGAGUAGCUGGGAUUGCAGGAUGCGCCACCACACCUGGCUAAUUUUUGUGUUUUUAGUAGAGACAGGAUUUCUCCAUGUUGGUCAGGCUGGCCUCGAACUCCUGACAUCAGGUGAUCCGCCCGCCUCGGCCUCCCAAAGUGCUAGGAUUACAGGCGUGAGCCACUGCAUCCAGCCUAAGUAUUUGAUGUUUUUAUGUACUUUUAAGAAGUGUUUGUAAAAUUCCAGUUUCCAAUUGUUGGUUGCUU
rnacentral:lncRNA from 1 species